GACCUUGUCAUCUUCUAGAAACUCUCUCCUAUUAGCUGAAUCCAUGGCGUCACAAUCCCCGAGGCCAGCUGAAGCAAACACAUUCUCAACGCCUUCUUUAAACUCCGCCGCAUAAAAUCGGCCGGGAUCGGUGAAAUUGAGGUUAGAUGAUGAAUCAGCCACCGUUUCUGGCGCCGAUCGGUGAUAGAACCCAGCGGCAGCCGCUGACGUGGAAGCAGAUGAAUUUUGAAGAAAAUUGAGGAUGAAAUUGAGGUUAGAUGAUGAAUCAGCCGCCGUUUCCGGCGCCGAUCGGUGAUAGAACCCAGCCCCAGCCGCUGACGUGGAAGCAGAUGAAUUUUGAAGAAAAUUGAGGAAGAAAGAAGACAUGUCUUCGGAUUCGAGAGGUGAAGAAG
rnacentral:lncRNA from 1 species